rnacentral:rRNA from 1 species
AAUUGGAGGGCAAGUCUGGUGCCAGCAGCCGCGGUAAUUCCAGCUCCAAUAGCGUAUAUUAAAGUUGUUGCAGUUAAAAAGCUCGUAGUUGAAUUUCGGGAUCAGUAGGUUGGUCAUGCCUAUGGUAUGUACUGGCUUUACUGGUUCCUCCUUCUUGAUGAUCUGUAAUGUCAUUAAUUUGGUGUUGCAGGGAGUCAGGACUGUUACUUUGAAAAAAUUAGAGUGUUUAAAGCAGGCAUACGCUUGAAUACAUUAGCAUGGAAUAAUGAAAUAGGACGUUCGAUCCUAUUUUGUUGGUUUCUAGGAUUGACGUAAUGAUUAAUAGGGAUAGUUGGGGGCAUUAGUAUUCAAUUGUCAGAGGUGAAAUUCUUGGAUUUAUUGAAGACUAACUACUGCGAAAGCAUUUGCCAAGGAUGUUUUCAUUAAUCAAGAACGAAAGUUAGGGGAUCGAAGACGAUCAGAUACCGUCGUAGUCUUAACCAUAAACUAUGCCGACUAGGGAUCGGAUGAUGUUAAUUUUUUAAUGACUCAUUCGGCGCCUUACGGGAAACCAAAGUGU